rnacentral:rRNA from 1 species
CCUACGGGGGGCAGCAGUGGGGAAUACUGCACAAUGGGCGCAAGCCUGAUGCAGCCAUGCCGCGUGUGUGAAGAAGGCCUUCGGGUUGUAAAGUACUUUCAGCGAGGAGGAAGGCGUUAAGGUUAAUAACCUUGGCGAUUGACGUUACUCGCAGAAGAAGCACCGGCUAACUCCGUGCCAGCAACCGCGGUAAUACGGAGGGUGCAAGCGUUAAUCGGAAUUACUGGGCGUAAAGCGCACGCAGGCGGUCUGUCAAGUCGGAUGUGAAAUCCCCGGGCUCAACCUGGGAACUGCAUUCGAAACUGGCAGGCUAGAGUCUUGUAGAGGGGGGUGGAAUUCCAGGUGUAGCGGUGAAAUGCGUAGAGAUCUGGAGGAAUACCGGUGGCGAAGGCGGCCCCCUGGACAAAGACUGACGCUCAGGUGCGAAAGCGUGGGGAGCAAACAGGAUUAGAUACCCGGGUAGUC